CCUUGGCCACUCACCCAGCCGCCACCGCCACCACCAACCUCCUCAACAAGUCCUUCUUUUCCUCUAAACCCCAAUCUUCCACUUCCAUUCCAUUCCCUUCUGUAAAGCGUCGUUCUUUAGUUGUGCGCAACUCCGUCACGGUGGCGCCACCUUCUCCGACGAAGAUCGCCAAGGAGUGCAAGGUCAAGUCGGUGAAGGCGAGGCAAAUCAUUGACAGCCGAGGGAAUCCCACCGUCGAGGUUGAUCUCUUCACCGAUGAUCUUUACCGGUCCGCCGUCCCAAGUGGCGCCUCCACUGGGAUCUAUGAAGCUUUAGAGCUUAGAGAUGGGGACAAGAGUGUUUAUGGUGGUAAAGGAGUGCUUAAUGCUGUUAAAAACAUCAAUGACAUUUUGGGCCCUAAGCUAAUCGGCGUUGAUGUCAGAAACCAAGAUGAAGUGGAUGCUAUUAUGCUGGAUAUUGAUGGAACUCCAAACAAGUCGAAACUUGGAGCUAAUGCUAUCCUUGGGGUAUCUCUGAGCAUUUGUCGAGCAGGUGCUGGAGCAAAAGCAGUGCCCUUGUACAAGCACAUUCAGGAAAUUUCAGGAACAAAGGAGCUUGUCAUGCCAGUUCCUGCUUUUAAUGUCAUAAAUGGAGGCAGUCAUGCUGGAAAUAAUUUAGCUAUGCAAGAAUUUAUGAUACUGCCAGUAGGUGCAACCUCAUUUGC
rnacentral:misc_RNA from 1 species